rnacentral:rRNA from 1 species
UACGGGGGGGGCAAGCGUUGUUCGGAAUUACUGGGCGUAAAGGGCUUGUAGGUGGCCAACUAAGUCAGGCGUGAAAUCCCUCGGCUUAACCGGGGAACUGCGUCUGAUACUGGAUGGCUCGAGUGUGGGAGAGGGAUGCGGAAUUCCAGGUGUAGCGGUGAAAUGCGUAGAUAUCUGGAGGAACACCGGUGGCGAAGGCGGCAUCCUGGACCAUAACUGACACUGAUAAGCGAAAGCCAGGGGAGCAAACGGG